GACGUAGGGAGCGAGCGUUGUCCGGAUUUAUUGGGCGUAAAGGGCCAGUAGGCGGCUUGGCAAGUCAGGUGUGAAACCUCCAGGCUCAACCUGGAGACGCCACUUGAUACUGCUAUGGCUUGAGUCCGGUAGGGGAGCGUGGAAUACCCGGUGUAGCGGUGAAAUGCGCAGAUAUCGGGUGGAACACCAGUGGCGAAGGCGGUGCUCUGGGCCGGAACUGACGCUGAAUGGCGAAAGCGUGGGUAGCAAACAGG
rnacentral:rRNA from 1 species